rnacentral:rRNA from 1 species
AGCGAACGCUGGCGGCAGGCCUAACACAUGCAAGUCGAACGGAUCCUUCGGGAUUAGUGGCGGACGGGUGAGUAACACGUGGGAACGUGCCCUUUGGUUCGGAACAACUCAGGGAAACUUGAGCUAAUACCGGAUGUGCCCUUCGGGGGACAGAUUUAUCGCCAUUGGAGCGGCCCGCGUCUGAUUAGCUAGUUGGUGGGGUAAAGGCCCACCAAGGCGACGAUCAGUAGCUGGUCUGAGAGGAUGAUCAGCCACAUUGGGACUGAGACACGGCCCAAACUCCUACGGGAGGCAGCAGUGGGGAAUCUUGCGCAAUGGGCGAAAGCCUGACGCAGCCAUGCCGCGUGAAUGAUGAAGGUCUUAGGAUUGUAAAAUUCUUUCACCGGGGACGAUAAUGACGGUACCCGGAGAAGAAGCCCCGGCUAACUUCGUGCCAGCAGCCGCAGUAAGAC